CCCUUAGAUGUUCUGGGCCGCACGCGCGCCACACUGAUGCAUUCAACGAGUCUAAAACCUGCUCUGAUAGGGGUGGGUAAUCUUUUGAAUGUGCAUCGUGAUUGGGAUAGAUGAUUGCAAUUUUUCAUCUUCAACGAGGAAUGCCUAGUAAACGCAAGUCAUCAGCUUGCAUUGAUUACGUCCCUGCCCUUUGUACACACCGCCCGUCGCUCCUACCGAUUGAAUGAUCCGAUGAAUAUCAUGGAUUGAGGAUGCAAGUAGGUUAGCCUAUCUUCAUCUUCGAGAAGUGAAGUAAAUCUUAUCAUUUAGAGGAAGGAGAAGUCGUAACA
rnacentral:rRNA from 1 species